rnacentral:rRNA from 1 species
CCCUUAGAUGUUCUGGGCCGCACGCGCGCUACACUGUUCGACGCAGCGAGUCUUAACCUUGACCGAAAGGUUUGGGUAAUCUUCAGCAAAGUCGAACGUGAUGGGGAUCGAUCAUUGCAAUUAUUGAUCGUGAACGAGGAAUUCCUAGUAAGUGCAAGUCAUCAGCUUGCGCUGAUUACGUCCCUGCCCUUUGUACACACCGCCCGUCGCUACUACCGAUUGAAUGGUUUAGUGAGAUCUCUGGAUUGACGCUGGCUAGGGGGCGACCCUUGGCCAGACUGUUGAGAAACUGCUCAAACUUUAUCAUUUAGAGGAAGUAAAAGUCGUAACA